rnacentral:tRNA from 1 species
GCGCCUGUAGUUCAACGGUAGAACAGCGGGCUUAUACCCCGUUCGCUCCGGACUGGAGCAAGAUGCCGGUUCGAAUCCGGCCGGGCGCACC